UCAGGAGCCUGUUGGAGUAGUAAUAAACUCGAUAGUAUUCAUCACCAUGCAAUUUUGACAGGUUUCCACACCCCUUUUAGGGCUUAUGUCCUGCCUUCCCACCCCCCAUUUCCAUUGGCACCAAAGUAUAGCGCCGUUGGCCAUUUUGAAAAAAUGUGUGUGUAUGUGUUUGACUAGGGGAAGUGUUGUGUAUGUCGGUGGUUGGGUAAAUG